AGAGUUUGAUCAUGGCUCAGGAUGAACGCUGGCGGCGUGCCUAAUACAUGCAAGUCGAACGGAGUUAUUGUAUUCGUACGAUAACUUAGUGGCGAACGGGUGAGUAACGCGUUGGUGACCUGCCCCGAAGAGGGGGAUAACAGUCCGAAAGGAUUGCUAAUACCCCAUGUGGUCCCGGUGAUUAGAUGCCUGGUGACUAAAGGAGUAAUCCGCUUUGGGAGGGGCCUGCGUCCCAUCAGCUAGUUGGUAAGGUAACGGCUUACCAAGGCUAUGACGGGUAGGGGACCUGAGAGGGUGGCCCCCCACAAUGGAACUGAAACACGGUCCAUACACCUACGGGUGGCAGCAGUAGGGAAUAUUGCUUAAUGGGCGAAAGCCUGAAGCAGCAACGCCGCGUGCACGAUGAAGGUCUUCGGAUCGUAAAGUGC
rnacentral:rRNA from 1 species